UAGAAUAUGCAGGGGAGGUCGUGUGACGACCUGAGAGUAAGCUAAAGUUUAGACCCUUUGAACCUGUCGGUUAGAACCGUCGUAGGGAGUAAUUACGAAUACAUA
rnacentral:ncRNA from 2 species